rnacentral:rRNA from 1 species
AAGCCUACUCUAGCCCACCCCCUCCAAGCCAACUACCUGCCCUCAAUAAACCAAAACAUUUUCCUCAACCCUAGUAUAGGUGAUAGAAAGGCACCCAAAGGAGCAAUAGAGACAACGUACCGUAAGGGAAAGAUGAAAUAGCAAUGAAAAACCAAGCACCAAACAGCAAAGACCAACCCUUGUACCUUUUGCAUCAUGAUUUAGCAAGAACUAACCAAGCAAAACGCUAAUUUAAGCUUGCUACCCCGAAACCUACGCGAGCUACUUACGAGCUGCUAUUUAUUGAGCUAACCCGUCUCUGUUGCAAAAGAGUGGGACGACUCGUCAGUAGAGGUGAAAAGCCAACCGAGCUGGGUGAUAGCUGGUUGCCUAUAAAAUGAAUCUGAGUUCACUCUCGAUUCUUCCUAAAGGACCCCUUACUAAACCUACAUGAAAAAAUCGAGACCUAACUAAAGGGGGUACAGCCCCUUUAAAAAGAACACACUCUUGUCCAGCGGAUAAGCACCCCUCACCUCAACUGUGGGCCUUAAAGCAGCCACCAUCAAAGAAUGCGUCAAAGCUCAGCCUCAAAAAAUUUUAAAAUCCAACGACUCCCUCUCCCCUAAUAGGCCAACUUAUAACAAUAAGAGAACUAAUGCUAAAAUGAGUAACUAGGGUCUUCCCUCUACGGCACAAGCUUACAUCCUACAUUAUUAACAAAUUACAAGAUAUACAUUAAACCCAAACAAGACCUGAUAUCAUAAAAUCUGUUAACCCAACCACGGAGUGCCCCAAAGGACGAUUAAAAUCUGUAAAAGGAACUAGGCAACCCCAAGGCCCGACUGUUUACCAAAAACAUAGCCUUCAGCCAACCAAGUAUUGAAGGUGAAGCCUGCCCAGUGACAAUAUGUUCAACGGCCGCGGUAUCCUAACCGUGCAAAGGUAGCGCAAUCAAUUGUCCCAUAAAUCGAGACAUGUAUGAAUGGCUAAACGAGGUCUUACCUGUCUCCUACAGAUAAUCAGUGAAAUUGAUCUUCCUGUGCAAAAGCAGGAAUCAUAACAUAGGACAAAAAGACCCUGUGGAACUUCAAAAUCAACAACCACUCCCCCACACUACCCCUCCUACCCAUGGAAUAUGCCUCUGGAUCUGCUGGUCUGUAUUUUUCGGUUGGGGCGACCUUGGAGAAAAACCUAUCCUCCAAAAAAUAGACCAUACAUCUAUACUAAGAACCACUCAUCAAUGUACUAAUAGUAACCAGACCCAAUAUCAUUGACCAAUGAACCUAGCUACCCCAGGGAUAACAGCGCAAUCUCCCUCAAGAGCCCCAAUCGACAGGGAGGUUUACGACCUCGAUGUUGGAUCAGAACAUCCUAGUGGUGCAGCCGCUACUAAGGGUUCGUUUGUUCAACGAUUAAUAGUUCUACGUGAUCUGAGUUCAGACCGGAGCAAUCCAGGUCGGUUUCUAUCCAUGACAAACUCAUUCCAGUACGAAAGGACAGAAAGAGUAAGGCCAAUGCUCCAGGUAAGCCUUCGCCCAAAGAUAUGAACCCAUCUAAACCUCCUAGGGCUAACCCCAUCCAUCUCUCCUAGAAAAGGACCG